UACAUGGGGUGCAAACGUUGCUCGGAAUUAUUGGGCGUAAAGCGCACGUAGGCGGUUCGUUAAGUCGGACGUGAAAGCCCUCGGCUCAACCGAGGAAGUGCAUCCGAAACUGGCGAGCUAGAGUACGAAAGAGGGUCGCGGAAUUCCCGGUGUAGAGGUGAAAUUCGUAGAUAUUGGGAAGAACACCAGUGGCGAAGGCGGCUAACUGGUCCAGUACUGACGCUGAGGUGCGAAAGCGUGGGGAGCAAACAGG
rnacentral:rRNA from 1 species